UCGACCAUGACAUUCUUCUGGGCAGAUGAAACGAAGGGAAAGUCGAUGAAUUUGGAGCGGCCAUGGUCAUGGGUCUGGUGGGUCCCCUCCAUGCGAGAGGAACAGAGAGAUGAAGAAGAAGAAGAAGGUUUAAGCCUGAAAGAAGGAGAAGAAGAAGGUAGAGAGAGAUUGUAACGUGUUGAAGGAGAAAAAGAAGAUAAGAUGGAGAGUGGUGAACACCGGAAAUGGUCACAGAUCAUCACUUCCAUCACCUACCUUCUGUAACUCUUAUUCCUCAACACUGUUUUACUGUUUUAUUCUCUCCAUCACCUUUUUCAUUCCUUCACACCAUUUUGUUUUCUCACGCUAUAUCUAACUUUGUUGGAUAUUUUUAAAUCACAAUUUUGAUUUUAUUCAAUUUUUGUUUCCAGUGUUGUUGUCUUUUUCUGCGAUAUUAGAUUUGUAUCUUGAAAAAAAAAUUAAAAAUGUUUUUAAAUACGUUUUGAUUUAUAUAAAAAAAAAAUCUUUAUUCUUCAUCUAUAAAUCUAAAAUUAUCACUUUUAGUCUCAGAUUUUUUUUUCCAGCUCUUCUUCUUCUUCUGCAGUGAUAAUGGUUCAGAACUGGCGGCAGCGAAAGUGAAGGAGAAGUGGACAAGACAAUUUGGGUAUUUCACCUAAUUGUGAGUGUGCAGGUUAAAAAGAGGGGAGUGGAGGAAGUACUUACCAUCGUUGUGUUCUGAGCUCGUAUUUUUUCUCUCAAACGUAAGUAGUUUCCCCUACAUUUUUCUUCCUGCACCCUCAUAAUGUUAUGUAAAGAUCAAAUUGUCCCUAUUAUUCUUUAAAAACCCUAAAAUGCACUUGAAUUAUAUUUAUUUUUUGCAUUAUGGAUUAUGGAAUCCGGAAAAAUUUCGGAUUGGUAUUUCUGGUAAAAUUUUGGAUCCACCAAUCCGUAAUUCAAAAUAUGCAUCAUUCAAAAAAAGCAUUCUGGAUCUACCAAUCCGUAACAGAAAUAUGCAUUCCAAAUUCAAAAAUCCAUAAUUUAAGAAAAAUGCAUUCUGGAUCCAUGAAUCCGUAAUAGAAUUAAACUUCCAGAUUCAACAAUUCAGAAAUCAAUAAUUUAUGCAAAAAUUGUUUCCAAAACACCCCCUCAUACGGAAAAACAAAAUAUUCAGUUCCGAAUUGCUGAAUCCAUAGCACACGUAAAGAUUUCUAUUUCCGGUAACCACGGUCUCCUUUUUCAAAUAAAAUAUUAAGGCCAAUUUCGGGAUUUAGAAAAUUGUGGGGUGCAGGAAGAAAAAUGUAGGGGUGCAGGAAGAAGAAGCCCAAACGUAAUGUUCUACAUUAGGCCCAACAAACGUGAUGUUCAACAUUAGAUCCAACGUAAAUGUGUUUAGGGUAUUUCUUCCUACACUCCUACUUUUUUCGUAUUAUACAGUAAAAAAAAAAUGUGUGAACAUACAUGGAAAUAGUACAAAUUUGGUGAGUGCGUUAAGAAUAUUCAUCAGGAAUUAAUUUAUUAUAUUCGCUACAAUGUAUAAGUAUCUUAUGCGGAACGUUCAAUAAUUGUUUAAAAUUUUAUCCAUUUUGAUAAAAUUAACAUGUAAAAUUGUCCUAAUUUGGUUAAAAAAAACCUCUAAGAGUAGAUCAUAGAGAAGCCAAUACAACAUUUCCCAGUUUAAAAAUUUGCUUCUAGUUCAGGAAGUUAUGCGUGGGGUUUUCUAACUCAAGUCCUACAAAGUGCUUGAAAUGGAAGCACAUGGAAUGAUUUCAAUGGAGGCUUAGAAAAGUGUCAUUGUCAUAUGAAUCAUCCCUAGCAAAGAAAAGAAGGAGGCAGAUAAAGCAGAAAGUGUAAACUACUAUAAUCAUUUAUAUAAUGGAUUUCAUACAUCACUGGAGAUUCAACGAAUACUGAAGCCUACAAAUAUCCAACAAUUCCAAAUAAAUAGAAUCUUAGACAGUAAAAUACCCCUUGAUAACUUGCAGUACUCGGUUUGCUACUUCUGGACCAAACAUCCUGGGGAAGCUUGAACCAAGAUCAAUCUCAAUUGUCUUGUUUCUAAUUAGACCAUCCCUUUUAUUCAGAUAAGCUCUUUCUGCCUCUCCAACAUCUCGCUUGGCACAAGCACAAUGAUCCAACCAGAUCCCCAACACUUGCUUUGAAAUGGGGUCCAAAUGGUCCCUGAUGAUCUCCUCCAUGCGUUCUACUCCACCAUUUUCAGUCACAAUGCGAACCAGUAUGGCCGUAGGGGAGAAAACAGUGCGGAGGCAAAGGGAAGGAGAGAAAUAUGGUUGAACCUCUGGAACUCUUUCCAGAGCCUGCCUAUGAGUGUCCAAUUCAGUGUCCUCGUAGAAAGUUUUGAGGUCAUCUGGCCAAAGCACAAGGUCUUUCCGGGGAGGAAAAUCAAGAAUCAGAACUAGCAUAGUUGGACUCCUGCGGAUCAUUUCAAAGACAAAAUUUGGUGCAUCAGUUGAGCUCUUAAGAUAGGCUGAAAGACUUGUUAUAUCUAAGGACCCUCCUGUUGGUAACUCAGAGUGCACCCAGCUUCCCAGUACAAAAUCUACCUGUCACCAACACAAAAAUGAGGACUAAAUUCAGAACAAAAAACACACUUUUUCACAACGAGGAAAGACAGUCUUUCUGGAAUAAUGUUAGCACCACACUCUUUGUAAUUGGUUGACACUAAUUUUAGUGGGUUUGACCCCUGAUUUAAUAAUUGUCUCCUGAUUUUGUAAUUUUUCAGUGUAAAUUUCAGUCAACAAGGAAGAGUUUACGAAAGAGUGUGCUAAAGAAUAUGCUUCUUUUGUUUCCCAUCAUAUCAUUGAUCACAUAUUUCACUAUCUCUCUUCCUUUUCUUUUCUUUUUCUUUUCACCUUUUCUUCCCUCAGCUAUCUACCCCAAAACUUAGGUGUAGGCUUAUCCUUUUCCGUUUUUUAUGUAGUAAUGAGAUUGCAUCCUUGUCUACUUGCAAACUACUCAAAAACUUGGUAAUGUUUACCCUUUUUCAUUGCAAUUCAAAUUGUAAGUACACUACAGGUAAAUCACCAAUCAAGUCUAAACACUAUUACUAAUUACCUUCUCUUCUAUCCUUAACAUAAUAUAACAAAAUUAAUAUGAAUAGUCUAUAAGGUAUUCCUAUCCAUCAACAUAAAAAAAAAAUUGAGUUGUAAGAAAUUAUGUAAAUUGAUUUCUAUAAAGAGACUCACAUGAUCAAGGAAGCAUCAACCACUAGACCAAACAAGUUCUUUGAUUAUAUUACCAUUUUUAUUAUACAUAUUAUUAUUAAUACAAUUUAUACAUAUUAUUAUUAAUACAAUUUAUACUUAUUAUUAUUAAUAUAACUUAUACAUAUUAUUAUUAAUAUAAUUUAUACUUAUUAUUAUUAAUAUAAUUUGUACAUAUUAUUAUUAAUAUAAUUUGUACAUAUUAUUAAUAUAAUUUAUACAUAUUAUUAUUAAUAUAAUUUAAAUUUAUUAUUAUUAAUAUAAUUUAUAAAUAUUAUUAUUAAUAUAAUUUAAACUUAUUAUUAUUAAUAUAAUUUAUACAAUUUAUAAUAAUAAUAAUAUAAAUUAUAUUCAUAUUAUUAAUAAUAUUAAUAAUAUUUUUAAUAAUAUUAUAUUCAUAUUAUUAAUGUUAUAUUUCAUAUUAUUAUUAUAUUCAUAUUAUUAAUAUUAUAUUCAUAUUAUUAAUAUUAUUAGUAUUAUUAGUAUUAUUAAUAUUAUUAGUAUUAUUAGUAUUAUUAAUAUUAUUAGUAUUAUUAGUAUUAUUAAUAUUAUUAAUAUCAUUAAUAUUAUUAAAAUUAAUUAAUAUUAUUAAUAUCAUUAAUAUUAUUAAAAUUAAUUAAUAUUAUUAAUAUCAUUAAUAUUAUUAAUAUUAUUAGUAUUAUUAUUUAUAAUAAGUAUAAUAAAAAUCAUAAUAAUACAAAAGAAGUUGACUGUUGUAUUGGUUAAAUUUUUUCUAGUUACUUUUGUUUUAUGGUGCCAAAGUUACAUACGAAUUUUGAUUCGUAUGUAAUAAUCCGUAUAUAAUUCGCGUUUUUCUUGUAGUGGAUGAGCUUAAAUCAAUGGCACAUAAUGAUGUAUGGGACCUUAUAGAAUUGCCAGAAGGAUGCAAGAGAGUCGGGUGUAAAUGGGUCCGCCUUGUUGCCAAAAGUUUUACUCAAAAUGAUGGCAUUGAUUAUAAGGAAACACUUUCACCUGUUUCUAAGAAAGAUUUCUUUAGAAUUAUCAUGACGUUAGUAGCUCAUUAUGAUCUUGAGUUGCAUCAAAUGGAUGUCAAAACUGCCUUUCUGAAUGGGGAUUUAAAAGAGGAUGUUUAUAUGGACCAACCAGUGGGGUUCAUUGAAGAAGGAAAGGAACACAUGGUGUGUAAACUUAAGAAAUCAAUAUACGGGCUUAAACAGGCUUCUAGGCAAUGGUAUCUUAAGUUCAAUGAUACUAUUGUGUCCUUUGGAUUUAAGGAAAACAUCGUUGAUCGGUGAAGCAUACUAUGUGAUAGGAAUUGAAAUAUUCAGUGACAGAUCACAAGGACUGUUAGGUUUGUCUCAGAAAGCAUAUAUUAAUAAAGUUUUAGAGAGAUUCAGAAUGGAUAAAUGUUCGACAUCUCCUGUUCCAAUACAGAAAGGAGACUAAUUUAGUCACACGCAAUGUCCAAAGAAUGAUUUGGAACGAAAACAGAUGGAGAAUAUACCUUAUGCAUCUAUUGUUGGGAGUUUAAUGUAUGCUCAAACUUGUACACGGCCAGAUAUUAGUUUUGCAAUUGGUAUGCUUGGAAGAUACUAGAGUAAUCCAGGAUUGGAUCAUUGGAAAGCUGCAAAGAAAGUUUUAAGAUACUUGCAAGGAACGAAGGAUCACAUGCUUACUUAUAAAAGAUCUGGUCAUCUUGAGGUGAUUGGAUAUACAGAUUCAGAUUUUGCUGGUUGUGUGGAUACACGAAAGUCUACUUUUGGUUAUGUGUAUCUUUUAGCCGGAGGAGCGAUUUCAUGGAAAAGUGUGAAACAUUGUUGCAUCCACCAUGGAGGCUAAAUUUGUGGCAUGCUUUGAUGCCACAGUUCAGGCUAAUUGGUUGCGGAAUUUUGUUUCAGGACUUGGAAUUGUUGACAGUAUUGCCAAGCCGCUGAGAAUUUAUUGUGAUAACUCCGCAGUUGUCUUCUUUUCUAAAACGACAAGUAUUCCAAAGGUGUUAAACAUAUGGAAUUGAAAUAUUUUGCCGUUAAAGAAGUUCAGAAACAUAGAGUGUCAAUAAAACGUAUUAGAACUGAUCUUAUGAUUGCUAACCCUUUAACAAAAGGGUUACCGUCCAAAACAUUUACUGGUCAUGUUGUAAAUAUGGACAUUAUGUCUACUAGUGAAUGAUGAAUGUUGUUAUUAAUUCUUAUUUGACACUCUGAACUCAUUGAAUAAAUAAAGUUUCUGAAAUUUAUGUUUUCUACUUUAUGUAUAUGCAUGUAAAUCAUGCUGUGGAAAACAAAUUAUGUUGUUAUUGAUGAAAAUGACAUUAUGUUUGAACCUAUUAUGGAUUUCUCAUUAUAAAGUCAUAUUAAGGAGAAAGGAUGAUAUAGUAGUACAUGGAAGGAAAUGUGUCGAUUGAAAUGACAUGUAACAUGACUCUUAUUAUAUCUGUAUCCUUGAUUUUGAUUAAUGAUAGAACCAAUUUAUGUAAGACAUUUUAAAUGCGCGCAUUUAUAUAAUUAUUAAAUCAUGAAAGUAUUAUAACUCAUAAGUCAAGUGGGAGAAUGUAAGAAAUUAUGUAAAUAAUUUUUAUAAAGUGACUCACGAGCUUUGGGUCCGAAUAUGAUUUAAUAAUAAUAAUAGAAUAAAGGACCCAUUGGUUAACGUGAUAAAUAUAUAUAUAUAUAUGAUAUAUCUAAUUAAAACCAACAUCUGAUGGAGAUUGGGAACUAAAAACUAUCAGGUUCUAUCUCUGCAAAUAAUAGUUGUCUCAAUGUUAACCAUCAUGAAAGUGUGUGACAAGAACAUAAUUGCUAAGAGAUAGAUUGAGACAAAUGAGAUAAAACAAUUGUUUAAGUAGGAUCACUCAUGGAUCAAGGUAAGUACCUAUUCCUUCUUAAUUGUAUGGAUAUAUGUGAGAAUCAUGAUAUGAUAAGAUUGUAUGAGAACAUUAUUGUAUAUUGUAUAUGUUCUUAAUAAUGUUUAAUCGUGUUUUAACGUAUAUAUCAAGAAGCACUUUUCAAUAAUUGAUAAAUCCUCUGUAUAUUUUCAAUUAUUGGAGGGACUGUUUAUAUAAUUGAUGUACUAUGGAGAGACAGUAACAGUAACAGUUUGGGGGCACAGAAAAGGACAAAAUUUAAAAAUACUAGAUUUCCCAUUUGCUUCGGUAUAUGGUAGUAGAUUGAGUACCUAAUUCUCAACCCAAUACCCUCAUCUCUUUCUAAUGCCAAUACUUAGAUUUAAAACUCCAUUAAUCACUAAAAAACAAGUUAAAACGAAAUUGGGAAGAAAAAUAAAGACUUUGUAUUGAAAUUGAGGAAGUUGAGAAGGGAAAAUUUACCGGAGAAUCAUCACUGCCUGAUCUGAUAUGAAGAGAAGCUUGGGCAGUGGCAGUUUGGCUUUGAUAAUACUGAACAUCAGGGGGAAGCGUGCAAGGAAGAAGCUGAGAGUGAAGGCGAUUCUCAAGCCUCGAAACGAGAUCGACCAUGACAUUCUUCUGGGCAGAUGAAACGAAGGGAAAGUCGAUGAAUUUGGAGCGGCCAUGGUCAUGGGUCUGGUGGGUCCCUUCCAUGCGAGAGGAACAGAGAGAUGAAGAAGAAGAAGAAGAAGAAGAAGGAUUAAGCCUGAAAGAAGAAGAAGAAGAAGAAGAAGGUAGAGAGAGAUGGUAACGUGUUGAAGGAGAAAAAGAAGAUAAGAUGGAGAGUGGUGAACACCGGAAAUGGUCGCAGAUCAUCACUUCCAUCACUCUUAUUCCUCAACUCUGUUUUACUCUGUUCUACUCUGUUUUACUCUCUCCGUCACCUUUUUCAUUCCUUCACACCAUUUUGUUUUCUC
rnacentral:lncRNA from 1 species